rnacentral:rRNA from 1 species
AUUGAACGCUGGCGGCAUGCCUUACACAUGCAAGUCGAACGGCAGCAUAGGAGCUUGCUCCUGAUGGCGAGUGGCGAACGGGUGAGUAAUAUAUCGGAACGUGCCCUAGAGUGGGGGAUAACUAGUCGAAAGACUAGCUAAUACCGCAUACGAUCUACGGAUGAAAGUGGGGGAUCGCAAGACCUCAUGCUCCUGGAGCGGCCGAUAUCUGAUUAGCUAGUUGGUGGGGUAAAAGCCUACCAAGGCGACGAGCAGUAGCUGGUCUGAGAGGACAACCAGCCACACUGGGACUGAGACACGACCCAGACUCCUACGGGAGGCAGCAGUGGGGAAUUUUGGACAAUGGGGGCAACCCUGAUCCAGCAAUGCCACGUGAGUGAAGAAGGCCUUCGGGUUGUAAAGCUCUUUUGUCAGGGAAGAAACGGUAGUAGCUAAUAUCUAUUACUAAUGACGGUACCUGAAGAAUAAGCACCGGCUAACUACGUGCCAGCAGCCGCCGUAA